rnacentral:rRNA from 1 species
GGGAAUAUUGCACAAUGGGGGAAACCCUGAUGCAGCAACGCCGCGUGAGUGAUGAAGGUUUUCGGAUCGUAAAGCUCUGUUGUAAGAGAAGAACGUGUGUGAGAGUGGAAAGUUCACACAGUGACGGUAACUUACCAGAAAGGGACGGCUAACUACGUGCCNG